rnacentral:lncRNA from 1 species
CAUGGGAAGACGGUUUUACAAGGUGGCUGUGUGAGCAAUAGCUGCCUUUUGCCUCAAGAUGCUAUUUAGAGGCCAUAAUAACAAGCAAAAUUUCCUGAGAUUUGAGCACGUUGUGUUUGGUGAGGAUUCUCAAGGAAGGAAAUACUUGGAAUGUUGUUUGUGUAAAAAUGACAUCGUUGGAGUCUUCUGUGUGGUAGACAAGCUGGCAAAAAAUCAAAUCAUGGGCUGCGUCCUUCCGCCCCUGCCUGUGUUCCAGAAAGAGCCAGCACCUGUGUUCCCUGAGCAGGUAAGUGACUCCAGCCACUACACUUGCCAGCCCCCCGGGAGGCUGACAAAUGAAGCUGUGCUCCUGAGUCCCGAACAUAUAAUUUGCCACAUGCAAUUUGUGUCGCAUCAUGCCUAGCUGGAGCUCUACUGUCUGGAAUACCCAAAAUAUAUCUACAAAUAGAUCAUGUCAUGUCAAAAAUGAAAUGGAACUUGAUAGUAAUUGUGGACUGUAUAAUUAGAAAGCAGGAAUCAGAAUGUAUCACUGAUGGCAACACCUGGAAUACCUGCACAAAAAGCUGAUCAAGAGUUGACUUGGAAUCCAGGAAAGCCUAUAUACAGCUGUUUCUGCCCCUUUAAAAAGCUGCUUAAAUACUGCAGAUUACGCUUUGAUCACACUUCUGCUGGGGUAAACCACAUAGAAAUCAAGCAUAGGACAAUAAUCUGACUCUUUUUGAGGAGGUCGCAUCCAUGAGACUUAAAAUGUACGAAGUUUCACACAGUAGGUUUUUCUAAAUUUAGACACCUUUCUAUAAAGUCAUGGUGUAUCCAGGCCUAAUAACAGUUGCUUGAUGUUGUGGAGUCUGGAAGUCUUCAGAAGUACAGGGGAGGAGGAGGAGGGAGAAGCAGCUUUAGGGCCAUGUAAAAACAAAGCCUUUCUUUUCUCCUUUUAAAUCUCUCUGCUGUGCCCUGAUUGAACAUAGGAUGAAAAGCCACUGUCUUGAGAUUUGAGGGAAACAAAGGAUUUCUGUUUUUACUAUUACAUUGAAAAGCUCUUUACUGUAUGAAAGGUUAUCUCUUUGAAACUUCCUCAGAUUUGUGACCCAGGGUUUUGGGGAGUGCAACUGCCCAACUUCUACCCCAGAAAUCUAGGAUGUAGUAUCUUAGAGUAGUCUAUGUGGGAAAGAGCAUUAGCUUUCUGAUCUCUGUAUCAAUUUUAUAUGUUUUUUUGGGUGAAAUAUUUCAAGAAUGAGGUUUUUUGCUUUCAAAGGUGAUGUGAUGAAGUGGUGAUGUGAUGAAGUGGUGGUGUGUUUUGACCCAAACUAUCUGUUGUUAUGUGGUAAGAGUGAUAGAGGAUGGGCUGUAGCAUUGUACUGAGGAUGGCAGUCAUGAUGCAAGUAUGAGCAAUGGGCUCUUUC